rfam:Mycobacterium scrofulaceum strain E2838 contig_414, whole genome shotgun sequence.
CUUGAUCGACCCCAGCCACAACGGCCGACCCGCCGGCCGGUCCUGCCCAUACGUCGCCAAAACCGCUUGCGCCUC